CAGGGUAUAGCUCAGUGGUUGAGUGUGUGCUUAGCAAGCCCGAGGUCCUGGGUUCAAUCUUCAGUACCUUCA
rnacentral:tRNA from 1 species